rnacentral:lncRNA from 1 species
GGAAGCUGAAAUCUAAAAGAUGCAAGAAUUUCGAGCUGAGGUGGAUGUACCAUGAAACAGUGAAGCUUAUGUUCCAGGACCCUUCCCUUCCACUAACCCUAGCCAGGACCUGGGAGAAGCCCGAGCAAUGUGUUCUCAAGAUCACAAGUCUUCGUAUAUUUUGCAAAACUCUUCAUAUCAGAACUGAUUUGGGGCCAUUGGGGAGGAGAUGCUGACCUUCUAACUGUAAUCCAACUGCACGCAACUAUUCUAAAGAAGAUGAAAGCAUUUUUCACCCCUUUGUUGUGUAAUAAAUACAGUCUUUAUAUUUUGUUGCAUUUUAAGUUUGAUUUUAUAAUGAUCUGUGAAACAAAAUUGUUUUCAAUAAAC